rnacentral:rRNA from 1 species
UACGUAGGGGGCUAGCGUUGUCCGGAAUCAUUGGGCGUAAAGCGCGUGUAGGCGGUUCGGUAAGUCCGCUGUGAAAGUCGGGGGCUCAACCCUCGAAUGCCGGUGGAUACUGUCGGACUAGAGUACGGAAGAGGCGAGUGGAAUUCCUGGUGUAGCGGUGAAAUGCGCAGAUAUCAGGAGGAACACCGAUGGCGAAGGCGGUUCUCUGGGCCGUAACUGACGCUGAGGAGCGAAAGCGUGGGGAGCGAACAGG